GACGAACGCUGGCGGCGUGCUUAACACAUGCAAGUCGAACGGAAAGGCCCCCACUUUUUUGGUGGGGGUGCUCGAGUGGCGAACGGGUGAGUAACACGUGGGUGAUCUGCCCUGUACUUCGGGAUAAGCUUGGGAAACUGGGUCUAAUACCGGAUAGGACCAUGGUUUAGUGUCUCAUGGUGGAAAAAUUAUUGUUUUGGUGCAGGAUGAGCUCGCGGCCUAUCAGCUUGUUGGUGGGGUAAUGGCCUACCAAGGCGUCGACGGGUAGCCGGCCUGAGAGGGUGGACGGCCACAUUGGGACUGAGAUACGGCCCAGACUCCUACGGGAGGCAGCAGUGGGGAAUAUUGCACAAUGGGCGAAAGCCUGAUGCAGCGACGCCGCGUGGGGGAUGACGGCCUUCGGGUUGUAAACUCCUUUCGUUAGGGACGAAGCCGAACCUUUUUUGGGUGUGGUGACGGUACCUUUGUUAAGAAGCACCGGCUAACUACGUG
rnacentral:rRNA from 1 species